CGAGUAUCUCCUGGUAGCACGACGUCUCUCCGACGUCUCCUCCGUUGGCCAUGGACCCUAGCAGCCCGGUGUUCCCGAACCUCGAUCUGCAGCUCACCGGAACCGGACCCGUAGCCGGCGGUGUGCGAGCUCCCGAACCACGUUCUCCCUCGCAUUCCCUAGGUGGCAUAGGCUCCAUGGUUCUUCAUCCUCAAUGCCCAUGAUUGUCGCCGGCUGCAGGCUGACUCACUCUUUGCUGAUGCUCCUCCAUCACCACCAUCGGCUUCAUCUCCUCCAACUUCUCGACGGUAGGAAAUGCCGGAGGCUGACAGUCUCCACCUCCACACGGACUCCUCUACCCCCGAAAACAUAUUCUGGAGCUUAGGCUCCUGUGCACCCACCUAUUCAUGACCAGGUGAAGCCCCCCUCUUUUUUCCUCUCCCAAUCUCUCCACUCCCCCAGCUCUCUACUUCCUAGGGCCAGGGCCAGGGCCGAAGUAGGCGCGCGGUUGCUAGCUGGGGGAUGACCUGAAGGUUGCAUCUUAAAAUUAUAGUAUUUGACCGAUCUCUAAGGAUGUAUGAUAUUUCUGUUUAUACGUAUAUGGCAGUAAAAUUAUGUGGUGAUCUACUGAUUUGUAGUCCCUCCAAUGCUUUUGCUCUAUGUUCUGAGUAAUCUUCAGUGACAUCUGAUUUAUUUAAAGUUCCCUUUAGAUGAUAGAAGGUCGAUCGCCACUAAAAACCCAAUACAUAUUAAUUGCUAUUCUGAAAUUUAUGAUAUCUAACUACCAUGCAUCAGUUAGUUUGUACAACACACAGAUAUAUAUUGUAAAAAAGGAUAUAAAAUGUACAUACUGCUACAUGAUGUUCCUGUUAUUGAUACUCAGUUAACUAUGUGUACGAACCAACCUUGAUGAAUUUCUAGUAACCUGUGCGUAGCGCCGUGCCUUGCAGCAGAAAACUUAACAUGGACGACGCCAUGGGUGGCACGACCACGCUCCGAGAGAUGGGCGUCAACUCACCUCACUGCCGCAUCUAGCUUGCCGUACCUCCGCAUCGGCUCCGUCCUGUUAGUGCUUGGCUAUGAACCUAGUUUGUUCUUUGAGGUGCUGAUGUUGCUCUUCUCAUUUGUUUUGUAUGCCCCAGGUAGCUCUGCCCAGCAGUACCUAGAGUUCAAACAUGAGUCAUCUGAGCCCUUGCGAUCAGGUUGUUCCAGUUCGUUAUACACGGCUGGAAGGUGUAGAAUUGAAUGGGAAUGUCUUCUCUUUAUUUAUAUGCUCGGAUACCAAAUAAGUCACCAAACGGUCUGCUGAUAUUGCACUCAAAUGUUCUUUGUCUUAGUUUUUCUCAAAAGCGUGAAAAAUAAUUCACAACACGCUUUCUGUCAUGGAUAUGAAAAUUUCAUAUAUCUAUAAAUUUAAUAGCCUGUAUUUGAUUUGAAAUUGAUAAAAUGAUCACAGCUGAGAUGUGGUUCAUAGGAUAGUUCGACAAAGGAGAAGAGGGAAAUCAGAAACCUUUAUGCCUUGCAUCCAUCUUCUAUCAUUCUCCUCUAAUCACAUCUUAUGUUCUAAGUUAUGCAAGAAGAAACUUCUACAUAUAGAAUAGAUGAUGGCUAUCUAUAUUUAGGGCUCAAGUUUUUGCACUGACAAAAUUUUAGUGCGGAUAUCUAUUGACCUGGACAUUCUUUCAUACCUAUAGUUUCUCUCCUCACCUCUUGACAAAAAUCAUACCACCGCCUGAAUAAUAUGGAUGAUUUUGUACAGUCCUCACAACUAACUUACAUACAGAGAACCAUUCGUAAUAUGAACUAUUGUUCUUUGUCUUUUUACUUCUGAAUGAUCAAAGUUUGCUGUCUAUUUUUUCAGCAAUGAUGCAAUAAGAUUGGUUUGCAAUCAGACCUGACUGUUUGCAUGCGAAUCUAUCCUGAAGUAUGCUCUAUGCCAGAAUUCAAAAUCUGAAGUUGUCACUUCAAACAAUUUCUCUGCAAAAUCAGUUUUGAGUUCCCAAUAAAAAAGUAUCUACACUUAUAUACUCUUCACACUAUUUUUGUUAAAUAUUUUUUUUGGAGAUCGGUUUGGCGGCUGCUCUUGGUGCUUUUUAAGAAUAUAUCGAUUUUCACUGAAAAAAACUACAACCUUAGUUACAUUAGAACCUUUCCUGUAUCAAUUUUUCAAGCCAUGAUAUCACUCAUUUUAUUUUAGAGACCGCUAAGACCUAAAGAAUGUAGGAUAUGUUUCUGUUUACCUAUAGGUAACAAAACAUACACCUUGCCACAUUUCCUCCGCACAUCGAUGCUGUACAAGUUUCACUUAUGAUUUAGUACAUCAGCAUAUAUCCCCAACCACUUCACUCCUAUAGACUUCCAUGUUUUAUAAGAUUUUGUGCUUACACUCCUGAUGAAAUGUACUGGUGUGUUAACCACAUUUCUCUGAUGAUGCUCUAUCUGAUGAUUAAAUCUAUUGGUGCGAUUAGCCAGAUUUCCGUCAUGAUGAUCUAGCUGACCAUAUACUAUCUACUAUUUCAAACUACUGGUAACUCUCUGACAUAAUAUAGUAUGUCCCUGUUGGGUAUUGCUACUAAGUUAAUAGUGCCUGGAUUUAUUUGUUUUGGAACCAUGAUGUCUUUCACCCUACCACUACCAUAUUAUUACAUCUCUAAGCUUUUGGCAAACUUCAGGCAUGUUUGUUCUGGUGCACAUUUGCAUCAUUAAAUUUGAUGGAUUGGUACACCGCCGAGGUCACAACUGACUUCUUGAAUGUUAUGUUCUCCAUCGAUGUCUUUUUACAGCAGCUCCCUGUUUGGAGAUAUUGAUGGUCUCCUUUUGGAGAGAACUUUGGCAAAAAUUAUCUCUCCUACAUGGGCAAAACAAAAUAGGUCAAAUGGUCAAAAUCUGAUGCAAAUUUGUUUUACCAGAUAUUUAGAAACCGAUUAGGUAACCAAGUGUUUUCGUGUUGUAUGUACAUUCUUUUGUACUAACGUUUGGCCUUGCUUAUGGGAAACUUCAACCUUUUUAUAUGACCUGGUUGAGGAUCUUCAACAAUUUGGUUGUCAUUUUAAAAUGAUACAUCAGCUUUCCCGAAGAAGUUCCAUCAUCAAGUGCAACAGGAGUUAAAAUUGAGGAUAAAAGCAUCCAAUGCAUGUACCCAAUGCUAUACUUCAUCGUUCAAAAGGUUAGAGAUUGAUUUCGCUGUGGUCCACCUAAUAUUCUGAUUUCUGUAUUUUUUUCUUCUCAACUUAAUGCUUCUGUUUUACAGAUGUACAAAGAUGAUGUGUGUAUAAAACAAGUAAUCAAACAUCUCAACACUGAAGAUUGAAGAGAGGCUUCAAGAAGUCACACCAAUUGAAGGAGACACUACUUUAUUUUUUCCCGAAGCUAACACACACAAUGUUAACCCCACUAAGCUUUUGCUCUUCAUUCACAAUUAUGUAUCAUCUAACAAUGUGAACAGAAGUGGUGUGCUUAGCACAACUCCAUACGGCCCAGAUCCUCCAACCCGUGGUUGGAUGGUUAGGAGGAAUAUGGUAUCCCCUGCCCAUCAGAGUUCAAGUUCCAGACUUGACGUUGGUGCUUGCAUUUUCCUGGGUUUAUUCCAGGUCUUCCGGCGAUGUGAUGUUAGUGGGAAGAGACGUUCACGUAGACAACAAAGGCGUCAAUGACGACUUCAUCAAUCUCAAGAUGAUAUGCCGGCUUAGUCUUUUGAAGGUGCUCAUAGGGGUAGGGUGUACGUGCGUGCGUUCAUACGCUCGUGUAUGUGAGCGACUUUGAUGGUACUCUACUAAAAAAAUUCCUCAUGGACACCGCUACAUCGUGGUUGUGCGCGUGCCUUCUUUGCCCAGAUCCUCAUCUCGCCUUUCUAGCCACCGGCAUGUUCUUCCC
rnacentral:lncRNA from 1 species